GAAUUUAUUGAAUAGGAAAUUGACACAGUUCAAUUUACACUUUAGGAAGAACAAUUUGCCAGCUGAGUAGAGGAUGUCAUGGAGAGACACUUGAAGCAGGAGAUCAAAGGUUAUUGCAAUAGUUCAAGUGGGAUGUGAUAAGGACCUACACCAGAAUGGUGCUGCAAAUGGACACAGAACUACUGGAUUCAGAAUUGAACUGGAAGAAGAACACAGACCUCUGGCAAAUUGCAUGAAGUUUUUACUGAUUCCAAGCAGCUUUUUGACUCAAAAAAUCCAUCCUUUUCACACCAACAUUCUCCCAGUGUGGCCUCUAAGACUUGAAUGCUCAACUUAAAAGGUCAAGUUGUCCCCGAAUAUGGUCUCUGACACCAAAGUUCACUCUGGAUCUUCUGGUGCAGCAUAUGGUCUGUGGAAGCAUCCUCAUGGUGCCUUCUCCAAACAGUUUACUUUCUGGAUCAGAGAGAAAUUGCUGCCAUCUGCACAUCUCAGCUCCAUUCAUGACUCAGCCAUGUCUGAAAUUGCAACCUGAUCUAUGAGAUCUAUCAACAUUAUUGGAAUGAGGGGAAAUGGAUGGUGAUAUAUGUCUAAACCCAAGAACACAAACUCUUGCUGCCUAUGAAAUCUUAGACAAAUCAUUUAUUCUCUUUGAUUCUAGGUUCCUUCAUCUAUUAAAAGGUAGGAUUGGAUUUAGGUUCCUUUCAACCACAAAUCUAUGAAACU
rnacentral:lncRNA from 1 species